rnacentral:lncRNA from 7 species
UUUGGUAUUUGCUUGGUUUAACGUGGGGCACGCUUAGCUGACCCUCCCAGCACUGUACAGGGCUCCUCUACUUUCCUCCUAGGGGUUUGUGUUUGACAGACAUAAACCUUUUUCCCCUCUCCCUGCUGGAGACAAUCUAAUGAAGUAAUCUUUAGCUGACUUUUUUCCUCUCUUCAGCAUUACAGAGAAGAAUAAUACGUAUUAUUUUUUCCUUACCAGAGGCUAGGUUCUGAGAGCAAACAAAACCUGCCCUUGCUUCCAGAGCUCACUUUUGACACAGCUGAGUGCUGCCUCAAAGCAGUGCCGUUCCAGGAAGUGAUGUCUGCAGCACUUUUUCGGAGCAGGGAACCUGGCAACUCCCUGUUCAGGAGUCUAAGGAAAACGUCAUGAAGGUGGCUGGGGCUGAACCCCGGGGCAGUGCUGCUGGUCGUACGGCACAGCCAGAUCUGAACACUUCUAACAAGCAGAGUCACAGGAACAAAGUAUUUCUGACCAACAGAACCAAUAGCUUAAAAUUGUCCUAAGUGUCAGAUAACUUCACAAUCCUACUAUCUGCCAUGGCGUACAAAGACAUUGAAAUAAAACCUUUGUCUUAACCCAAGUAGACAUGAC